rnacentral:misc_RNA from 1 species
AGGGUAGACCCGGAGUAAGGAUGGACGAGGAACUCUUCUUCAGGAUAGCUGAGAAUAGCUUCUCAUGUGAUACGUUUAAUCAGUCCUAUCAGCAUCUACAGUUAUGUAGAGAAACAAAACAUUGUCUAUCCUACCUCGCUAAAGAUGUGAACCUAACUGUGUUCCAAGAGCUCUGCUCCGUUCUUAACAGAGAUUUUCAAUCUUUUGAUACAAUAGUUUCUGCCAAACCUUCUCCAAUAGAGGUAUGGGGUUAUGGUAUCCUAUGUGUGAGCUUGAUCUCUCUGACCUCGGUAGUUGGAGUUGCAAUCCUUCCUCUUAUGUCAAAGGUUUUCUACUCCCGCCUUCUUUCUGCACUGAUAGGACUAGCGGUUGGAAGUUUAAGUGGCUCUGCUGUUUUUCAUCUUAUUCCUUCUGCUUUUUCAUUAAAGGAGGUUGAUUUUUUCCCUCAUCAUGGAUAUCUCAAUAUAUCCAUGGCGAUCUGGUUGGGAAUGUAUCUUUUCUUCAUCCUGGAGAGAUGUCUUAGAAUAUUCAUGGACGCCAGGUCCAGGAGACAGGGGAUACCAUUCAACCACUCCCAUACACACACUAACAUCAAGCCUACAGAGGAACAGGAGUCCCUUGUCCAGCUUAAGGUUGAUACAAAUCUCCAGAAACCAGAUCAAGAGGUACGGAGGUUAGAACUAGAACCUUCAGAGCAAGGUCGGAAACGGGAGAGUAGUUUAAGUGCUCAGGAUAGCAAGGAAUUAUACCAGCAGAGCAGGCAGGCGAUCAGAGCUUCAUUUGGACACAUGGAUAAACCCCAUCCGAACAACAGACCAACUGUAGACAGUGUAAAGAAUAUUUCUGGUUCUGGUCCUGAGAAUAGGAUUGCUACUGUGGCCUGGAUGAUUAUAUUUGGAGACGGAAUCCAUAAUUUUAUCGACGGUUUAAGUAUCGGAGCAGCUUUCAGUGAAUCCAUCCUUACAGGAAUAUCUGUCAGUGUCGCAGUUCUCUGCGAAGAGUUUCCGCAUGAACUGGGAGAUUUUGCAGUUUUAUUGAAUGCUGGAAUGACAAUGAAGGAAGCACUACUGUACAACUUUCUCUCCGCCUGUACAUGCUACCUGGGCCUUAUUCUUGGUAUUCUUCUAGGCGAGCUUGAUGCCAACAGUUAUAUAUUUGGUUUGGCUGGAGGAAUGUUCCUGUAUAUAUCCCUGGUGGACAUGGUUCCGGAGAUGAACGAGAGCGUGGAGACUGCCAGCAAGACGAGCACCAGCUCCGCCCUAGGGGUCUUCCUUCUCCAGAAUAUAGGGAUACUGGUCGGGAUUGUAUGCUUGUAUACUCUUGCAAGGUUUCAAGAUGAUAUACAGUUUGGAUAAUAGUUCUCAUCUAAUAGUUGGAUAUCAGGUUCAGGGUAUACAAUUAAGAUACUAGUUCUCAUCUAGUAGCUGAAUAUCAGGUGCAGGAUAUACAGUUAAGAUAAUAGCUCUCAUCUAGUUCUUGGAUAUAAUAAUAUUUACCAUCUAGGAGCUCUUGAACCAAAUAUUUCCAAAGAAACAAUUUAAACCAAAAGUUUAUUCAUAGAAUUGUUCCAUUAUAAAAGUAAUUGCCAAAGCAGAGCGAUUUUUUUGUAGAAAGACCUGUUAAUGUAUUUUGUAAGUUUUAUUUCAACAAUCGAUUUUUAUUGUUUUUUUUUAUAUACCGAAACGAAUCUACAAAAUAUAAGGGUUUUUUUCUGAACUGAUUUGGAUCCAGAUUCACAUUUAGAUCCUGUUCCGGAUUUGAAUUCAGGAUCCAUUACAUAACAGGAUCCGGUUUGGAUCCGUAUCUAACAGGAUCCUAAGAACUGCAGUUGUCCAAAUAAUAAUGAUAAAUUAUCCUAGUUCUGUGCAAUAUAUCAGGAAGCUGUGUUUUCGUUUUAUAUUAAAUGAGAUGAGGUCGGAAGAAGUUGAGAGGAUUGUUUGGCUCCGGAAAUUAUUUUUUACCGAUGUUUUUAUUUAUUUUUUGUGACAUGUAAACCUGACUUUAUGUAGUGAUGCGAUUAAUAUAUUAUUAGUUUCUUUGGACGGUUUUUUUGUAUUGUUUCUUUAAUUUUCCAGUAGCUUCAGUGAGAACCAGAGAACUCAGGAAUAGGAAGACGACUUUUAGAAUAAAAUUUUGACUAUAUAGUGAACAUGAAACGCAGCAAACGUUCAAUUGUCUUUUAAGCAGACCCAUUUAACUUAUAAAGUGAUACAAUAAGUUCCUAAUUAAACUAUUUGCUCUUUAAGGACCUAAGUAUUGCUAUACCUAUUGCUUCCUAUUCCAGAGUUUUCUGGUCAUCACUGUAUUAUACAAUAGUCGAUGUUUAUUGUAUCAUUAUUAUUGUAUAUUCUGUUAUUCGAUGAUUAUGUUUUCGUUAAUAUCUAGCAUAUGAAUAAACACUGUUAUUAUGUUUCAAGUUAUUUUUACUUGUUAAAUUAUGUAUUGUUAAAUAAUAAUAAAUUUUGCACAUUUUC